rnacentral:rRNA from 1 species
UACGAAGGGGGCUAGCGUUGCUCGGAAUCACUGGGCGUAAAGGGCGCGUAGGCGGCCAUUCAAGUCAGGGGUGAAAGCCUGUGGCUCAACCACAGAAUUGCCUUUGAUACUGUUUGGCUAGAGACCGGAAGAGGUAAGUGGAACUGCGAGUGUAGAGGUGAAAUUCGUAGAUAUUCGCAAGAACACCGGUGGCGAAGGCGGCUUACUGGUCCGGUUCUGACGCUGAGGCGCGAAAGCGUGGGGAGCAAACAGG